GGGGAAUAUUGCACAAUGGGGGAAACCUUGAUGCAGCAACGCCGCGUGAGUGAAGGAGGCCUUCGGGUUGUAAAGCUCUGUUAUACGGGAAGAUAAUGACUGUACCGUAUGAGGAAGCCACGGCUAACUACGUGCCAGCAGCCGCGGUAAUACGUAGGUGGCGAGCGUUGUCCGGAUUUACUGGGCGUAAAGGAUGCGUAGGCGGAUAAUUAAGUGAGAUGUGAAAUACCCGGGCUUAACCUGGGGGUGCAUUUCAAACUGGUUGUCUAGAGUACAGGAGAGGAAAGUGGAAUUUCUAGUGUAGCGGUGAAAUGCGUAGAUAUUAGGAAGAACACCGGUGGCGAAGGCGGCCCUCUGGGCCGAGACCGACGCUGAGGCGCGAAAGCUGGGGGAGCGAAC
rnacentral:rRNA from 1 species